rnacentral:tRNA from 1 species
GCCUGGCUACCUCAGUUGGUAGAGCAUGGGACUCUUAAUCCCAGAGUCAGUGGGUUCAAGCCUCACAUUGAGUG